rnacentral:rRNA from 1 species
AUUGAACGCUGGCGGCAUGCUUUACACAUGCAAGUCGAACGGCAGCGGGGGCUUCGGCCCGCCGGCGAGUGGCGAACGGGUGAGUAAUGCAUCGGAACGUGCCCAGUCGUGGGGGGAUAACUACGCGAAAGCGUAGCUAAUACCGCAUACGUCCUGAGGGAGAAAGCGGGGGAUCUUCGGACCUCGCGCGAUUGGAGCGGCCGAUGUCGGAUUAGCUAGUUGGUGAGGUAAAGGCUCACCAAGGCGACGAUCCGUAGCUGGUCUGAGAGGAUGAUCAGCCACACUGGGACUGAGACACGGCCCAGACUCCUACGGGAGGCAGCAGUGGGGAAUUUUGGACAAUGGGGGAAACCCUGAUCCAGCCAUGCCGCGUGAGUGAAGAAGG